UACGGAGGGUGCAAGCGUUAAUCGGAAUUACUGGGCGUAAAGCGCGCGUAGGUGGUUUGAUAAGCGAGAUGUGAAAGCCCCGGGCUUAACCUGGGAACGGCAUUUCGAACUGUCAGGCUAGAGUAUGGUAGAGGAGUAUGGAAUUUCCUGUGUAGCGGUGAAAUGCGUAGAUAUAGGAAGGAACACCAGUGCAAGCGGACUCUGGACCAAUACUGACCUGAGGUGCGAAAGGUGGGGAGCAACAGGAUUAGAUACCCGUAGUCC
rnacentral:rRNA from 1 species